rnacentral:rRNA from 1 species
UUCCAGACUCCUACGGGAGGCAGCAGUGAGGAAUAUUGGUCAAUGGCCGGAAGGCUGAACCAGCCAAGUCGCGUGAGGGACGACUGCCCUAUGGGUUGUAAACCUCUUUUAUAAGGGAAGAAUAAAUGCUACGUGUAGCAUGAUGCCUGUACCUUAUGAAUAAGCAUCGGCUAACUCCGUGCCAGCAGCCGCGGUAAUACGGAGGAUGCGAGCGUUAUCCGGAUUUAUUGGGUUUAAAGGGUGCGCAGGCGGAGGUGCAAGUCAGCGGUCAAAUUGCGGGGCUCAACCCCGUACUGCCGUUGAAACUGCAUCCCUUGAGUGCGCGAGAAGUAUGCGGAAUGCGUGGUGUAGCGGUGAAAUGCAUAGAUAUCACGCAGAACUCCGAUUGCGAAGGCAGCAUACCGGCGCGCAACUGACGCUCAUGCACGAAAGCGUGGGUAUCGAACAGGAUUAGAUACCCGAGUA